UACGUAGGGUGCGAGCGUUGUCCGGAAUUAUUGGGCGUAAAGAGCUUGUAGGUGGUUUGUCGCGUCGGCCGUGAAAACCUGCAGCUUAACUGUGGGCUUGCGGUCGAUACGGGCAUCACUGGAGUUCGGCAGGGGAGACUGGAAUUCCUGGUGUAGCGGUGAAAUGCGCAGAUAUCAGGAGGAACACCGGUGGCGAAGGCGGGUCUCUGGGCCGAUACUGACGCUGAGGAGCGAAAGCGUGGGGAGCGAACAGG
rnacentral:rRNA from 1 species